rnacentral:lncRNA from 1 species
UCCAUACAAAUUGUAACAAAGUCUCAUCUAACUUUUAGAGGUCCUAAAGUGUUAGGUUGAGCAAAGGUUGUAAAAGUCUAAGUGGUUAACUUAGCAAGAAGGUGCAAGCCUGCUGAGGCUUAGAGAAUACAGGAUUGUAAUUGUUCAGGUGAACAAGAUUGUAAGGUGCAGGAUUUGAGAGGUUAUCUCAAGCAUCAUAGUGGAAACUCUCACAAGAUUGUGAGGAGUGGACUAACCCACAUUGGGUGAACCACUAUAAAUUUCUGUGUGUUCUUUCUCUCUUCCCUAUACUCUUUAAUUACAGUAUACACAACACACACUUACACAUUUACUUUAUUAAACUGUUUAUGUGUAUGAACUUCAGAACGUUCUGAAGUCAGAAUAUUAACUUAACUAUUCCAAGUAAACUACUUGAGAAUCACUUUUAAGUUUCAGGUUAAUUUUUAAAGGGUCACAAUUCAAACCCCCCCUUCCUUGUGACUAUUUUAUCUACUUCA